UACGUAGGUGGCAAGCGUUGUCCGGAUUUAUUGGGCGUAAAGAGCGUGUAGGCGGCCAUACAGGUCCGUUGUGAAAACUGGAGGCUUAACCUCUAGACGUCGAUGGAAACCGUCUGGCUAGAGUCCGGAAGAGGAGAAUGGAAUUCCUGGUGUAGCGGUGAAAUGCGCAGAUAUCAGGAAGAACACCCGUGGCUAAGGCGGUUCUCUAGUACGGUACUGACGCUGAGACGCGAAAGCGUGGGGAGCGAACAGG
rnacentral:rRNA from 1 species